GCCAGCACAUGUGCGAUGUCACUUGACUGUUUCUUCUGAGUUAAUUUUGGCGGACAAGUUGCUGGUGGUCUUCGUUUUUGGAAGUUGUAAGAGGUGGAAAUUCCGAGGAUUUCUACUGUUCCACUGUCUCAAAGUUCGUUGACAAACGCACUUCCAAUCUCCUCAGUGUGUUGAAGAAGAAAGGAGGCUCUGCAGGAAGGGAACUUCGCAUACUUUUGGCCCAAAGCAACUGUUGAAAAGAGGAGGGAGAUCAUCCUCAGGGCAAUUGGUUUCUACCUGAUGAAGACCCAAACAUCCUCUUCAAAGAAAACCCGGAUCUGAUGCUAUAGCCGUUCCGAGGGAGCUUGGACAAGUUAUCUUUACAGCAUCCGUGUUGAGGGAGGUGAUGCUACCACUCCUCCAGCUGAUGUUGGGAUAGUCACCGAGGGUGCUGAAGUUCUGCAUGACUUGGGAGACAUCGCCUCUACACGUGCACUCUUAAUAGGUGUAAUUAUGCACUGAACCUCAGUUAUCCUUAGAACCUUUAAGCCUUCUUUGAGGUACUUCACAAGUGAUUCUUUCAACUAGAUGCAAGCAAACUCUCAACCAAGGUACAGAUGCUCAAGAACAAACUCUAUGAAUGAGCCAUCCAUUGAUUUGGACGCUGUGUUCUGCGGAAUAGGCAGAAUUCUAAGCAAUGCAUCAUCAAAAUUGUUGACAACUAAACAUUAUUUUGCAAACUUUUCAACACUUUAUAGUGCUAAUAAUUUUACGGUAUUAUUUUUUUUCACCAAUUGCACCAAAAUGAUAUUGAUGUGUUGGUGAAUAAAGUCCAUAACGAAAUUCAGUUGAAAUAAAUUUGUGUGGGACCAGUUGACAAACAUUUGAUUUGUGUCAAUCUAAUUUGGAAAAAAAAUAUUGAAUGAAAACCUAAUGUUUUAAUUAAUUGAAUAUAAAUGUAUAUUGUUACUACUCCAAAUAAAAUAUUGAAAGGUAAGCUUAAAUAUAUUGUUGAUCAGAAGUUUUUUAUUUUUAGUUGGAUCAAUUGACAUUCAUUGUGUUACUCUUAUACAAGUUCAUUACAUUUUUUUGCUUUUAACUAACCUAAAACAAUUUUGUGGAAUCUGUUGAAAAAAUAAAUAUAGUUAAAAUCAAA